AUUGAACGCUGGCGGCAGGCCUAACACAUGCAAGUCGAGCGGAGCGGCGGACGGGUGAGUAAUGCCUAGGAAUCUGCCUGUUAGUGGGGGAUAACGUCCGGAAACGGGCGCUAAUACCGCAUACUAUCAGAUGAGCCUAGGUCGGCUUAGCUAGUUGGUGGGGUAAAGGCCUACCAAGGCGACGAUCCGUAACUGGUCUGAGAGGAUGAUCAGUCACACUGGAACUGAGACAUGGCCCAGACUCCUACGGGAGGCAGCAGUGGGGAAUAUUGGACAAUGGGCGAAAGCCUGACCCAGCCAUGCCGCGUGUGUGAAGAAGGUUUUCGGAUUGUAAAGCACUGUAAGUAGGGAGGCGGUACCAAAAGAAUAAGCAACGGCUAACUUCGUGCCAGCAGCCGCGGUAAUAC
rnacentral:rRNA from 1 species